rnacentral:rRNA from 1 species
GAGGGGGAUAACACUUGGAAACAGGUGCUAAUACCGCAUAACCAUAGUUACCGCAUGGUAACUAUGUAAAAGGUGGCUAUGCUACCGCUUUUGGAUGGGCCCGCGGCGCAUUAGCUAGUUGGUGGGGUAAAGGCUUACCAAGGCAAUGAUGCGUAGCCGAACUGAGAGGUUGAUCGGCCACAUUGGGACUGAGACACGGCCCAAACUCCUACGGGAGGCAGCAGUAGGGAAUCUUUCACAAUGGGCGAAAGCCUGAUGGAGCAACGCCGCGUGGGUGAAGAAGGUCUUCGGAUCGUAAAACCCUGUUGUUAGAGAAGAAAGUGCGUGAGAGUAACUGUUCACGUUUCGACGGUAUCUAACCAGAAAGCCACGGCUAACUACGUGCCAGCAGCCGCGGUAAUACGUAGGUGGCAAGCGUUAUCCGGAUUUAUUGGGCGUAAAGGGAACGCAGGCGGUCUUUUAAGUCUGAUGUGAAAGCCUUCGGCUUAACCGGAGUAGUGCAUUGGAAACUGGGAGACUUGAGUGCAGAAGAGGAGAGUGGAACUCCAUGUGUAGCGGUGAAAUGCGUAGAUAUAUGGAAGAACACCAGUGGCGAAAGCGGCUCUCUGGUCUGUAACUGACGCUGAGGUUCGAAAGCGUGGGUAGCAAACAGGAUUAGAUACCCUGGUAGUCCACGCCGUAGACGAU